GUCAACGGUUGGCUCAGCAAAUAUGCAGCCCAAAAUACACCACUAGUGGUCUGUUCUUAAAGACCAAAGAACCAAGCCCUUUUCCUCCUUUCUUGCUGCUACCCCUCAACUAUUUCAUUGUUUGUCAAUGCUCAGCAAGGAAGACAGCCUAACAGCAGCUCUCCCACCUGUGGAUUCCUCACUGAUUAAAAUCUGGUUACAAAACAAGGGACCUAGAGAGAUGUUGAUUUCGCUGCUUCUCUACAGAUGCCUCCUGCUGCUUCCAACUUUUCUCCUUUAAGGCAGGGUGAAUCCAAAUCAUGGUCUCAGCCCUGAAGGAGGCACCAAAGCAGUUUCGUUGCCCUGUGAAAAGCUUCUAGAGGAGCUCAUCUGAAUGCUUGAAGAAACCAGCCGCCCUUACAAUUACCUAAAAAGAAUUGAGUCAUUUUAACAAGACAUUUCUGCCAUCCACGGUCACAAUCAUCUCUUUGAAAAAUAAAUACUCUUGGUUUGUUGUU